CACGGGAAUCCCCGCCGCGCUCGAGCGGGCGACGCUCCAAACGGGCUGAAAAAACUGCUCUUUCGGCGUGAAAACGCGAAGGGGGAAAAGCGAUAAAAAAAGUGCAAGGACUUGUUGAACUUUUUAAACGGAAAAUGCCCCAGGGACACGGACGUGGCUGUUUCUGGAUCGUGUCUGGGUGAUGCCGGCACCCACGUGCAGAUGCUCGUGCAGCGUAACUGUGUGACGAGGCUGAACCUGCAGCUACAGCGUCACACACGUAGGUGCGGUGUUCCUAGGAGUUACUGACCCCACGGAGACGGAC